rnacentral:rRNA from 1 species
CAGGCNUAACACAUGCAAGUCGAGCGAGAGCGGCCGAGGGGUAACCUNANCCGGGACAGCGGCGAACGGGUGCGUAACACGUGGGCAACCUGCCCUGACUCCGGGAUAACNCCGGGAAACCGAGCUAAUACNGGAUACUCUCGGCCAGCCUCAUGNGGNNNANNANAGAUCCGUCGGUCAGGGAUGGGCCCGCGCUAAUCAGCUUGUUGGCGGGGUGACGGCCCACCAAGGCGACGACGGGUAGCUGGUCUGAGAGGACGACCAGCCACACUGGAACUGAGAUACGGUCCAGACUCCUACGCGAGGCAGCAGUGGGGAAUAUUGCACAAUGGGCGAAAGCCUGAUGCAGCGACGCCGCGUGAGGGAUGACCGCCCUCNGGCUGUAAACCUCUUUCGGCAGGGACGAAGCGAUCAGUGACGGUACCUGCAGAAGAAGUCCCGGCUAACUACGUGCCAGCAGCCGCGGUAAGACGUAGGGGACGAGCGUUGUCCGGAUUUAUUGGGCGUAAAAGCGCGCGUAGGCGGCCGCGCNAAAGUCGGAUGUGAAAANCUCCGGGGCUCAACCCCGAAUUCUGCAUCCCGAUACUGCGUGGCUAGAGGUAGGUAGGGGAGAUCGGAAUUCCUGGUGUAGCGGUGAAAUGCGCAGAUAUCAGGAGGAACACCGGUGGCGAAGNGCGGAUCUCUGGGCCUUACCUNGACGCUCAGGCGCGAAAGCUAGGGGGAGCGAACAGGAUUAGAUACCCUGGUAGUCCUAGCCGUAAACGUUGGGUGCUAGGUGUGGGCGGAUAUCGACCCCGUCCGUGCCGAAGCUAACGCAUUAAGCACCCCGCCUGGGAAGUACGGCCCGCAAGAAUAAAACUCAAAAGGAAUUGACGGGGGCCCGCACAAACGGCGGAGACAUUGUGGCNUUAAUUCGAAGCGACGCGAAGAACCUUACCUGGGCUUGACAUGCGGGGUGAAACCGUGGAAACACGGCGGCUCUUCGGAGCCCGCACAGGUGUUGCAUGGCUGUCGUCAGCUCGUGCCGUGAGGUGUUGCCUUAAGUGGCAACGAGCGCAACCCCUGUCCUUAGUUGCCAGCGGCAAAGCCGGGAACUCUAGGGAGACUGCCGGUGCCAAACCGGAGGAAGGUGGGGAUGACGUCAAGUCAUCAUGACCCUUAUGUCCANGGCUGCACACAUGCUACAAUGCGCGAUACAGAGGGUUNGAUCCGCAAGGGGGAGCGAAUCCCAAAAAGUCGCGCUCAGUUCGGAUGGGGUCUGCAACUCGACCCCGUGAAGUCGGAGUCGCUAGUAAUCGNAGAUCAGCAACGCUGCGGUAGAAUACGUUCCCGGGACUUGUACACACC